CGUUAUAAGUUUGUAUGAAAGAGAGAGAAAUUCAUCGCUGUAUACGCGUUCCAUGACAAUUGAGCUCAGUCAGAACUUGUGGCUAGCAUCAGUCCAUUUGAUAGCAGCGGUGAGUGAUGACGAUUGGGAAUGACAAGUCCACACUGCAUCUUUUUUUACUCUGUUUUUUAUUAACAAAUCAAUACAGGAAGUACAUGUGGGAACACAAGUAUAUAUAAAUAAUAUACAAUGGACAGUUGGGCUGGGGGGGUACAAUAUCACAUUACACAAGGACCUUAAGGGACAUACAUACACUCAUUAUUCUAACAGCUUUUUUGUUAGUAGAGUAUUUAAUUGUCAUAAAAUACAGUUCAAAUUCUUUUUGUAAGAUAAGAAAAUGUGUUUAUUUGUUUGUAAAUUUACAUUUGUGAAUAUGAAAUUUGGCCAAAAGAAUAAUGAAAUUAAUUACAUAAAAAAUGUUUCAGCUUACUUCUAUCGUCAAUAAAGAAUCCAAACAGUACAUCUCUCCGCAAUAGUGUAAGAUCGUCAUAAAUGUGUUGAAUUAUAAAUCUACUAAUGUCUUGCCGCAGUUUUCUUGCAUGAAUACAAUGCCAAAAAAAAUGCAACACUGUUUCUGGGUGGUCAUUACAAAAGGAGCAAUUUGAGUUGAUGUUUUCCUUAAUGAGAACAGAUUCUCACAGGUCAGCUCCUAACUUCUUCAUAUAGUGGUAGGCAGGAUAAUAUGAGGGCUCUGAGGGAUCAGGUCUUGACACGUUCCUGAAUAAUAAAUCAACACCUGAGGGAACGGCAUCUAAAACAAUUGCAAAAUCUUUAGGUGUUACAGGGACCUUGUAAAGUGAUAAGAUUUCCUUAUAACUGAGUAAAAGACCAUCUGCAUUUACCAGUUGGCUCACCAAUAGGAUAUUAUUUCGGAAGCAAUGUGUCGGAAGAAACACCGUACACCAGGCGACCGUGUCACCGUACAUGAGCCCGGCCCACCACAGGAGUCGCUAGAGCAUGAUGGGACAAGGAAAUCUUGGCCUGCCAAACCCUCUCCUAUGCCAAACCCUCUCCUAGCCCGGAUGACACUGAGCCAAUUGUGCGCCGCCUCAUGGGUCUCCCAGUCAACGCUACGCCACUCGGGAGGCCCCUGCAAAUUGAUUUUAACAAACAAUUGGUCCCCCCAAAAAUGCAUCCCUCCGUUGAUUUGCAACAUCCCAAUGUGGUCCUCGAGCAAAAAAGUUUGCCCACCCCUGCCCUAGCCCCUACCCCUGGCUCCUACGCUUAGCUCCUAGCUCCUACCCCCUAGCUCCUACCUCUAGCGCCUACCCCUAGAACCUACACCCUGGCAUAGACCCUUCAUUUGCUGUAGAUCUGUUUGCAGACACAUAUUGUCAACAUCUCUUUUUUCUUUUCAAUACCAGUGCCCCUUUAAAAAAAGGUCAAAUUAUUUUAUUUUUGAAAAUUGUCAUGUGGAACUGAACUAAUGUUUGUGUGUUUUGCAGGGUUCUGUGGGCCAGCCAGGUCCACCAGGUAUCCCAGGAGCCCAAGGUAGGGGCACAUUAUCAUACUGGACUGGCAUGGUGGGGUGUGCGAUAAUGAUCAUAAUUUUAUUUUACCUUUGUAUACUCGGCAAGUCAGUUAAGAACAAAUUCUUAUUUACAAUUACGGCCUAGGAACAGUGGGUUAACUGCCUUGUUCAGGGGUAGAACGACAGAUUUUUACCUUGUCAGCUCAGGGAUGUCAAACUAGCAACCUUUCGGUUACUGGCCCAAUGCUCUAACCACUAGGCCCCAGUUAUCUGUAUGUUCAGAUGGAAAUUGGUUUUGGUACUAUCACACUGACGUGGCACAAUAUUCUGUGUGCCGCUGUAUACAGUGUUGUGAGCUGUUAUAACAUUAGCCGUGAUUAACCAUGCUAAUCAUUAGUCUGGUCUUCUUGUGACCUUCAGGGGGAGCCUGGGUUCCAGGAGCCAAUGGGCCCUCGGGGGGCCUCCAGGGGAUGGCUUUCCAGGAGAAAAGGGGGAUUGGUGGAGACUGUGGGUGGAAAGGAGACAAGGGAGAAUUUGGAGAGCCAGGGUCUGUAGGACACAUGGGGAAAUCUGGUGAGAAGGGGGAACCUGGCCUGACAAGAGAGGACGUCAUCAAAAUGAUCAGGGACAUUUGUGGUGAGUUAAAACAGCUCAUUGACUAUAAUUGCAGUCGCUGUACUCAUAAUAUACAGGAGAACGAUCGCCUUACGGCGAGGAUA